rnacentral:tRNA from 1 species
GGAGUUGUGGUUCAGUGGUAGAGCACUCACCUAGCACAUGUGAGGCACUGGGUUUGAUCCUCAGCACCA